rnacentral:rRNA from 1 species
UACGUAGGCAGCGAGCGUUGUUCGGAGUUACUGGGCGUAAAGAGUGCGUAGGCGGUUUUGUAAGUUUGGGGUGAAAUCUCCUGGCUCAACUGGGAGGGUGCGCCGAAGACUGGAAGGCUUGAGUAUGGGAGAGGUAAGCGGAAUUCCUGGUGUAGCGGUGAAAUGCGUAGAUAUCAGGAGGAACACCUGCGGGGUAGACGGCUUACUGGACCAUAACUGACGCUGAGGCACGAAAGCGUGGGUAGCAAACAGG